rnacentral:rRNA from 1 species
AACGAACGCUGGCGGCAGGCUUAACACAUGCAAGUCGAACGCCCCGCAAGGGGAGUGGCGCACGGGUGAGUAACGCGUGGGAAUAUGCCCUUCGGUUCGGAAUAACACAGGGAAACUUGUGCUAAUACCGGAUACGAUCUACGGAUGAAAGAUUUAUCGCCGAGGGAGUAGCCCGCGUAGGAUUAGCUAGUUGGUGAGGUAAUGGCUCACCAAGGCGACGAUCCUUAGCUGGUCUGAGAGGAUGAACAGCCACACUGGGACUGAGUACACGGCCCAGACUCCUACGGGAGGCAGCAGUGGGGAAUAUUGGACAAUGGGGGAAACCCUGAUCCAGCCAUGCCGCGUGAGUGAUGAAGGCCUUAGGGUUGUAAAGCUCUUUCGCCAGGGAAGAUAAUGACGGUACCUGGAAAAGAAGCCUCGGCUAACUCCGUGCCAGCCGCCGCCGUAACAC